AGCUGAUAUUGUGAAUUUUAGACAACCUACAAAAUGGUAAUUAUAAAGAUUAGUCUAAACACAAAUUAUACUCGUAAGUGCACAAGGUCAAUCGUAAUUUAGUAUGGUAAAUACGAGGUCAUUCUCACGAGGAUUGAGUUCAACUUCCAAUUAGUCUAACCUAAUUUACUUCACAAAAUACUUUAACUAUUCUAAUUAUAUAAACAAGAAAUUAAACACGUAAACACAAAAGGGUUUUUUGAAUGAGUGAUUUAAUUAACAACGAAAUCAAAAGAAAAAACAAGUAGAAAGCCAUGAAACACAAAGAUGAGAAAUUCAAAUUGAUAAAAGCACUAGGACAUUGAAUUCACCACUAGUAAUCCGAUCUAGCCUCUUAUUCACCUACCUGUUAACUAACCAUUUGAUGUCGCCGCUUAGUUUUCCUUUUUCAUGAAUUACCUAUGGUAUUUAGGCUAACUCGUAUAUUCUUAAAUGCAAUUCGCCUAUGGUAUUUAGGUCAAAUAUCAACACGUAGAAACUCAUUAAGAUCAGUGAAAACCUCCAACAAGCAUGUAAAAAUCCUAGAAUUAUGAUAUUUACCCUAGACGAAUUAUAGAUCUUAAUCACAAGAAGCAAGCCUCAAAUUAAGUAUGGUAUUUACUCUAAUUUGCAUCCAAUUAACUCAAUUAAAAGUCUAGAUGGUGAUCAAGCAUCAAGAUAAUCAACCAAGUUAUUAAGCACAGUGAUUAAGAAUCCAACAUCAAACGGCAAUCAAUAGAUAGGUAAAAUAAGAAAACUAGAUUAUCAUACUAGGGCUACAUCAUGCCCUAUCAAAAGAAAAUUAGUUACACAUAAUCAUAGAAUUCGGCAUAAGCAAAAACAUAAUAAAAUAAUAAUAAAAACUUAGCCAAUUGCGGUACUCUCCCGGCGUCUCCAAUUUCUCCAAGUCUUUACGUAACCCAAAGGAGUUGUUUCUCAUGCUUAAACAAAACACCACACGUCUAUUCCUAACCUAGCUGGGCUUUUACAGCAGCCCCAAAAAUAAAGAAAAACCUAAUUAAAACAUAAAUCCAAAAAGGGUAAGUAAUUGACUCCUCUACCUACUUUGACUGGGAUAACACAUCAGUUUCUUUGCAAGCACGUUUGAAGUCAUUUCUCCUCCAAGAAAAUUUCGGAAAAAAUAUUUAAAUUGUAGAUCUUUGUCUUAUCUUUCCAACCAUAUAUCGCACGCUGUGAGAAAAAAAACACGAAGACCUUCAAAUUUCCUUUUUCACACAGUAACUCAAAUCUAACGGAAUUGCACUUAUGCUGACUUGAGCUCAAAGAGCACUCUCAUUGGUUGCUCCAAAAAUUCUAGAAACAUUCCAAAAUUAUCUUCAGGGUCUUACCUUCAAUAUCCAACUGGCCUUACACAAAAACUCUACCAAAAGUCAUAUUUUGUUGGUAAUCAAUUAGCUGCUCAGUUAAGCUGAAAAUGAAGAAAAUAAAGAAAAUAAAGAAAAUAAAGAAAAUAAAGAAAAUAAAGUAAUAAGUCCUUUUUAAAUCUAAUUCUCCUACAAAAACUAAGUAUAAAUAGUACAUAAUGUGUAAAUUUAUGGGCUUAUCAGCUGACACCAAGGAACGAGUUCUAGUGCUUUGGAUGCUAUCAAAGUGAAGCUUUCUCUUAGGGCAUUAAGGUGUGCAGAAUUUUGGAAAGAGCAACCGAAGUUGGGAUAAGAGCACAAACACAAUCUACUGUCUUCAGUCAAGGUUUAAGAAUUGAAAUUGGAACCUUUGAUUCAAUCAAAAGGGGACUUACAAUUCAUUUGAAGUGUACGAUGUACUUAUAAAAUUGUUACAAUUUAUUUUUCAUCGAGGUCAUGUUGUCUAUUCUUAGAAUUUAAUUUCGAACCUCUGGUUCAAUCAAAAGGGAUUUACAAUUCAUUUGAAGUAUACCAUGUAAUGCUUAGAAAAAUGUUGUUCAUGUCCAAACCAGGAAUCAACUUAGAAUGAUGAAGUAUGAAAUCUUCAGCAAGGAUUGAAUGGUGAGGACCUUUGGUAAGGAUGCCUUCAGCAGCUAGAUCAACUUGUAGAGGGAAACGAGACAAGCAUUUAUCAAGCUUCAGGCACCGGUGUUGUAAGGGUAAGGGUCCAAAGUCAGCAAGUAUGAGGUAAGUGGUAAUUUUGGCACAGAAAGGGUCAAAAGUAGUUACCUUUUUACCUUAGCACUAUUCCCCUUUCAUAGAAAAAGGGAAGUGGAUGUUUGCCCAAUUAAGAUGUGGGACUUUGGGCAAAUCAUUGUGGUAGUGAUACGUGUCCCAAGGUCUAGGUUCUGUAGGCUUGCCUUUCAAUAGUAUGUUGCCCUAUUAGAGAAAGAUGUAUCUUCAGUACCUUCAGUUGUGAUGACAUCAUCAAUACUCUAAGUUAGAGCAUUUCUUGGGUUGUCUCCUUUUGGUAGUUUGUGGGUCUGUCUCUGUACCAGUCCCCCAAUACCGAAUGUGCUUGGUUGAUUAUGGUACAAAUAGUAGUCCCUUAAGUUGCAGAUUGAGAAGUGGCUUUUGGGUUGGAAACUUGUAAAAUGUCAUAUAAUCUUACCGAGUGGUUCGGCAUGCCAGAGGUAGUCCUAAGUCCCCCAAGUUUGCAAUCUAGAAGUUACUUUGGCAUGGAGGUAACUGGAGGUGAAUUAAGACAUAGAGUGCUAGUCGCGCAAUAGAGUCUUCUACAAGAUUAGCAUGCGUCUUCCCGAUCACACGUCUUGUAAAUCAGUUAGGAGACUACGCGCAUCUCGCACAAGAGUGUCCUACACGAUCGACAUGCAUCGUGCCGAGAGUGUCUCCUACACAAUCAACAUACAUCUUGCCAAUACGUAGGGAGACUAAGCGCAAGUCGUGCUAAUGUUGAAAAAGUUCAAAGGUUGGUAAUCAAAUGCAUGCCACGUGGCGGAAAUAGUUUGAAUAAUCAGAUCGUAAUGAAGGUCAUUAGUGCUGGAAACGAAGCAUCAUUACAAGUAGUUGAGUUGCAAUGAUGUGCAUUGGCUCAAGAAUUGAGAUGUCGGUAUAUAUGCCACAAGGGUAUAAAGUCCUUGCCUAGGGUAGAGAUAGAACAUUUAGCAUUGGAGAGAAAUUUGAGAGGGUUGGUGUACCAAAUUUAAGGGUGACAAAGAUGAGGGUACCGAUUUUGAGUUCCUUAUAGAAGAUCCUAUAGAAGACAAUAGGAUAAUAGUCUAUGAUGGAGGAAUAAGUCAACAAUCGGUAAACUCGGGUGAAGCCAGGCAUGAAGCAAUGCAAGUUGAGUUUGCCAAUGAUAUGUUCAUAAUUUCACAUGAUUUUAUAUCCUAUUUACUUAGUUUUGUGAAUUAAUUUGGAUUAAAGAUGCUGAUUUUAGUUAUUUUCUGGUUUUUCAGUUUAUAAGUCGUGAAAUGUAUAAAUUCGUCAAAUAUUCCUCAUAAUAUAGUUUGACAUGAUUCCAAUUAGAAAUGGAAGAUAGCAUCUUGAAGUUUGUCCAUGAAUAUUUCAUAAUUUUUUAAGACUGCUAAGGUGCCCAUUUUUAAUUAGACAACUCAGCCUAAACCAAUUCCCGGAGAAUACUAAAUCAGCAGGGGUAAUUUGGCCAUAACUCACUCAUACGACAUUGGAUUGAGGCACACGACAUAUGGCUGAAAAGAAAACAUCCGAAGAUUUCCAAAGAGUGGUCAUACGUAAUUUUCGGAGGUCAUGAAGGUAUUCAAAUCGCAUUCGCUAAGAGGAUCACGUGCAGUUUCCUGGAAGUUUUAGAAAAUUUAGUUUUGAUUACCUUUUCUAGUUAGAAAUAGACUUGGAAAUCAAGUCUUCGUGUAAGGCCACUUGUUUAGGCCCAUUCUAACUAGGUUUUAGGUUCUUUUUAGAGGGGAGGUUGGGGGGGGGGCUCAAAGAGGAUAUAUCAGAAAUUUCAGAAUUCAACCGUGGAGCAAGGAAGAGCGACCUUGCCUCUAUACUCUAAGGGUUUUUCUUAUCUCUUUCUCCAUGUUUUAUUUUUGCUUUGUUACCAUGAUUAUGAGUAACUAAUUUUCUUUUACUAAGACACAAUGUAACCCUUUUCUAAUUAUUCAAAGCUUAGUUAUGUCAUGCUAUUAGACUUUCCAUGUUGUUGAAAUUUAAUCACUGUACUUAUUUUCUUAACUAAUGAUCUUGACGCUUAGCUACCAUCUAGAUUUUUGGUUAAGUAAUUUAAUGCAUGUUAGGGUAUACGCCAUGCCUAAUAUGAGUUUUGCUUCUUGUGAUUAAAUUCAUAAAUGCGCCUAAGGUAAAUACCAUACUCUUAGGGGUUUGGGUGAUUGUGUGAAGUUCUCAUUGAACCUAAGGUCUUUUUAUAUGUUUAUAUUUAUGCCUCACGCCAAGGAUAAAUUGUGUGUAAGAAGAAGUGGUUAAUUGCUGUGAAAAGAGUUAAUCAUAAUUUUGGAUAACUAAUCAUCAACAUAACUUGGAAAUUUUGAUAGCAUGCAUGCUACGGUUUGAAAUUGGUACACAGGUGACGAGGGGUGAAUUUAAAUGCUAUUCAAGUAGUCAUAGUGAUCUUCACACACUUUAAUCAUUGACCAAAUAUACUUAUAACUAGUCAACUGCUAGUCAUGAGAAACCAUAACGAAGAACACACACACAGAGCAUAACAAUCUAUACCUGCAAGCCUAGAAGAUUAUUAGUAACAACCUAGACACUCAGAAGGACCCGUCAAUCUAGACAUCCCUUGUGCUAGCAACAACUAUGGUGAAAGUGCGUGAAAAUAUCAUACAACAGAUAGUGAUGACUAGUCAACUGCAAGAACACAAACCCAGAAAUGCAUGAUCAUCAUGCGAUGACCAGUCAACUAUCAAGAACAUAAACCCAUAAAAUAACAAAGCUGCAAACCAGAAAUUGUUCACCCAGAAACCCACCAUUGGGCAAAACUGGGGGUCAUCAACCGACCAAACAAUUCACUAAGUAAAGAAGAUUCUUACCAAGGAAAACAAGUAAACUCAAGAAAUCCUAGAUCUAUUUAGGAAGAUAAGCUAUACCUCCUUUGUGCAAUCUUCUUCUCCAACUUAGCAAAACCAGCAGCUUAGUCCUUCAUGGCAAUGACAGCUCCUUCUUCAACUCUUUCAUCCCAUGGCACCAACUAGCCAGCUUAAACUCAUACAGAAACCAAAAAUUUGGAUUCAAAGGAAAAUGAUCAAUUUCUUCAAGAAACCAUACUCUUGACUUGAAUCUGACCUAGAUAUAUAUGAGAGAGUGUUUGAUAUAGCAAGAUGAGGUUUUCAUAUUUCAGAUGCAGUUUUCAAAAAAUCAAUUUGGAAAACUCAAAGAUGAAAAAUAUGAAGGUUCACUCUUGAGGAAGAAGAAGAGAAAGUUUUCUAAGAAGCUUUCCAAAACUCACCCACAAAAUAGACGGCUGCCAAAUGAGAAAUUC
rnacentral:lncRNA from 1 species